GACGAACGCUGGCGGCGUGCCUAAUACAUGCAAGUCGAGCGAGUCUCUUCGGAGGCUAGCGGCGGACGGGUGAGUAACACGUAGGCAACCUGCCUCUCAGACUGGGAUAACAUAGGGAAACUUAUGCUAAUACCGGAUAGGUUUUUGGAUCGCAUGAUCCGAAAAGAAAAGGCGGCUUCGGCUGUCACUGGGAGAUGGGCCUGCGGCGCAUUAGCUAGUUGGUGGGGUAACGGCCUACCAAGGCGACGAUGCGUAGCCGACCUGAGAGGGUGACCGGCCACACUGGGACUGAGACACGGCCCAGACUCCUACGGGAGGCAGCAGUAGGGAAUUUUCCACAAUGGACGAAAGUCUGAUGGAGCAACGCUGCGUGAACGAUGAAGGUCUUCGGAUUGUAAAGUUCUGUUGUUAGGGACGAAUAAGUACCGUUCGAAUAGGGCGGUACCUUGACGGUACCUGACGAGAAAGCCACGGCUAACUACGUGCCAGCCGCCGCGGUAA
rnacentral:rRNA from 1 species